rnacentral:tRNA from 1 species
GUGAGCAUAGUUUAAAACAAACGUUAGAUUGUGAUUCUAAUAAUAGAGGUUGAACCCCUUUUGCCCACC